UACGGGAGGGCAGCAGUGGGGAAUAUUGCACAAUGGGCGAAAGCCUGAUGCAGCUAUGCCGCGUGUAUGAAGAAGGCCUUAGGGUUGUAAAGUACUUUCAUCGGGGAGGAAAAAACAAAACUAAUAAUUUUAUUUCUUGACGUUACCCGAAAAAGAAGCACCGGCUAACUCCGUGCCAGCAGCCGCGGUAAUACGGAGGGUGCUAGCGUUAAUCAGAAUUACUGGGCGUAAAGAGCACGUAGGUGGUUUUUUUAAGUCAGAUGUGAAAUCCCUGGGCUUAACCUGGAACUGCAUUUUGAAACUGAAAUACUAGAGUAUCGUAGAGGGAGGUAGAAUUCUAGGUGUAGCGGUGAAAUGCGUAGAUAUCUGGAGGAAUACCUAUGGCGAAAGCGGCCUCCUAAACGAAUACUGACACUGAGGUGCGAAAGCGUGGGGAGCAAACAGGGAUUAGAUACC
rnacentral:rRNA from 1 species